rnacentral:tRNA from 1 species
GGCUGAGUAGCUCAGUGGACUGAGAGCCAAGCCUAGAGGUGGGAGGUCCUAGGUUCGAAUCCAGCCUCAGCCA